UACGUAGGGUGCAAGCGUUAAUCGGAAUUACUGGGCGUAAAGCGUGCGCAGGCGGUUAUGUAAGACAGAUGUGAAAUGCCCGGGCUUAACCUGGGAACUGCAUUUGUGACUGCAUGGCUAGAGUGUGUCAGAGGGGGGUAGAAUUCCACGUGUAGCAGUGAAAUGCGUAGAUAUGUGGAGGAACACCGAUGGCGAAGGCAGCCCCCUGGGAUAACACUGACGCUCAUGCACGAAAGCGUGGGGAGCAAACAGG
rnacentral:rRNA from 1 species